UACAGAGGGGGCAAGCGUUGUUCGGAAUUACUGGGCGUAAAGGGCGCGUAGGCGGCCCGCUAAGUCGAACGUGAAAUCCCCGAGCUCAACUCAGGAACUGCGUCCGAUACUGGCGGGCUUGAAUCCGGGAGAGGGAUGCGGAAUUCCAGGUGUAGCGGUGAAAUGCGUAGAUAUCUGGAGGAACACCGGUGGCGAAGGCGGCAUCCUGGACCGGCAUUGACGCUGAGGCGCGAAAGCUAGGGGAGCAAACGGG
rnacentral:rRNA from 1 species